GACGAACGCUGGCGGCGUGCCUAAUACAUGCAAGUCGAACGAGAGCGACCGGUGCUUGCACUGGUCAAUCUAGUGGCGAACGGGUGAGUAACACGUGGGUAACCUGCCCAUCAGAGGGGGAUAACAUCCGGAAACGGAUGCUAAACCGCAUAGGUCUUCGAACCGCAUGGUUUGAAGAGGAAAAGAGGCGCAAGCUUCUGCUGAUGGAUGGACCCGCGGUGCAUUAGCUAGUUGGUGAGGUAACGGCUCACCAAGGCCGUGAUGCAUAGCCGACCUGAGAGGGUGAUCGGCCACAUUGGGACUGAGACACGGCCCAAACUCCUACGGGAGGCAGCAGUAGGGAAUCUUCCGCAAUGGACGCAAGUCUGACGGAGCAACGCCGCGUGAGUGAAGAAGGUUUUCGGAUCGUAAAACUCUGUUGUUAGAGAAGAACAAGUGCUAGAGUAACUGUUAGCGCCUUGACGGUAUCUAACCAGAAAGCCACGGCUAACUACGUG
rnacentral:rRNA from 1 species